CGGACAGAUGGGAGCUUGCUCCCUGAUGUUAGCGGCGGACGGGUGAGUAACACGUGGGUAACCUGCCUGUAAGACUGGGAUAACUCCGGGAAACCGGGGCUAAUACCGGAUGGUUGUUUGAACCGCAUGGUUCAAACAUAAAAGGUGGCUUCGGCUACCACUUACAGAUGGACCCGCGGCGCAUUAGCUAGUUGGUGAGGUAACGGCUCACCAAGGCAACGAUGCGUAGCCGACCUGAGAGGGUGAUCGGCCACACUGGGACUGAGACACGGCCCAGACUCCUACGGGAGGCAGCAGUAGGGAAUCUUCCGCAAUGGACGAAAGUCUGACGGAGCAACGCCGCGUGAGUGAUGAAGGUUUUCGGAUCGUAAAGCUCUGUUGUUAGGGAAGAACAAGUACCGUUCGAAUAGGGCGGUACCUUGACGGUACCUAACCAGAAAGCCACGGCUAACUACGUGCCAGCAGCCGCGGUAAUACGUAGGUGGCAAGCGUUGUCCGGAAUUAUUGGGCGUAAAGGGCUCGCAGGCGGUUUCUUAAGUCUGAUGUGAAAGCCCCCGGCUCAACCGGGGAGGGUCAUUGGAAACUGGGGAACUUGAGUGCAGAAGAGGAGAGUGGAAUUCCACGUGUAGCGGUGAAAUGCGUAGAGAUGUGGAGGAACACCAGUGGCGAAGGCGACUCUCUGGUCUGUAACUGACGCUGAGGAGCGAAAGCGUGGGGAGCGAACAGGAUUAGAUACCCUGGUAGUCCACGCCGUAAACGAUGAGUGCUAAGUGUUAGGGGGUUUCCGCCCCUUAGUGCUGCAGCUAACGCAUUAAGCACUCCGCCUGGGGAGUACGGUCGCAAGACUGAAACUCAAAGGAAUUGAC
rnacentral:rRNA from 1 species